AUCAUGAUCAAGUCUGCUUGAUGAUGGCGACCGGCGCACGGGUGAGUAACGCGUAUCCAACCUUCCCCCCAGUAGGGCAUAGCCCGGCGAAAGUCGGAUUAAUACCCUAUGUUUUCCAAUGAGGACAUCUGAGCUGGAACAAAGAUUUAUCGCUGGGGAUGGGGAUGCGUCCGAUUAGGUUGUUGGCGGGGUAACGGCCCACCAAGCCCGCCGAUCCGUAGGGGUUCUGAGAGGAAGGUCCCCCACACUGGUACUGAGACACGGACCAGACUCCUACGGGAGGCAGCAGUGAGGAAUAUUGGUCAAUGGGCGUAAGCCUGAACCAGCCAAGUAAGCGUGCAGGACGACGGCCCUAUGGGUUGUAAACUGCUUUUAUGCGGGAUAAAGUGAGGUAUGUAUACCUUUUUGUAGGUACCGCAUGAAUAAGGACCGGCUAAUUCCGUGCCAGCCGCGGC
rnacentral:rRNA from 1 species